UACGGGGGGGGCAAGCGUUGUUCGGAAUUACUGGGCGUAAAGGGCUCGUAGGCGGCCAACUAAGUCAGACGUGAAAUCCCUCGGCUUAACCGGGGAACUGCGUCUGAUACUGGAGAGCUUGAGUCCGGGAGAGGUGAGUGGAACUCCGAGUGUAGAGGUGAAAUUCGUAGAUAUUCGGAAGAACACCAGUGGCGAAGGCGGCUCACUGGCCCGGUACUGACGCUGAGGUGCGAAAGCGUGGGGAGCAAACAGG
rnacentral:rRNA from 1 species